rnacentral:rRNA from 1 species
CCUACGGGUGGCUGCAGUCGAGAAUCUUCCGCAAUGGACGAAAGUCUGACGGAGCGACGCCGCGUGGUGGAUGAAGUCCUUAGGGACGUAAACACCUUUUAUGAGGGAGAUGUUACCUCAUGAAUAAGGGGCUCCCAACUCUGUGCCAGCAGGAGCGGUAAUACAGAGGCCCCAAGCAUUAUCCGGAUUUACUGGGCGUAAAGGGUGCGUAGGCGGUUAUAUUAGUCGGGUGUUAAAUCCUGAGGCUCAACCUCAGGCUCGCAUUCGAAACGGUAUAACUAGAAGGAGUCAGAGGCAAGCAGAACUCAUGGUGUAGGGGUGAAAUCCGUUGAUAUCAUGGGGAAUACCAAAUGCGAAGGCAGCUUGCUGGGAUUCUUGACGCUGAGGCACGAAAGCGUGGGUAGCGAAUCGGAUUAGAUACCCGGGUAGUC